CAACAAAGUUAUAUUCUAGGACUUUUUUCUAUGAAUACAUUUUUAAAUGUAAACUAUUUUGAUAUGUUAUUGAUAAGAAUACAUUUAUUUAUUGAUCAGGAAACCAUUUCAGUAUUCACUGAGCUUUCUGACAGCAGGGGCCUUUGAUUUUACAGAGCCUGUCAUGCCUUGCAUCAGUGUCUGCUGCUUUUGGAGAAUUCCCCCUUUGAGAGGUGAUGAAAUCCCCCGGCCUGUGGAUUAUUUGACCAAGAUGCCACCUGACAUCCUCUGGCAUAGGGCUGCACGAUUAAUCGUUUUUAACCCGAAAUCGCGAUGUGAAUGGAUGCGAUUUUCGAAUCGCAAGAGCUGCGAUUAUUUCGAUUCAAAACUAUCAAAUAUAACAAUCAUCUAGUACGCAGUUUUUGACAGUUCGCUUCAUGCACAUUUUACGUUUGAUGCAGUUUAAACCAAUAGAGUGCAUUAACACUGAGGUGCUGACUACACGUCAGAUAACACCAUUUGGAAAACAUGAGCGAGCAGCAGUUCAACUCCUCAACAAAGUGUACGGCCAUAUGAUUUCCGCGAUGCGGAAAACACAGACAGAAUCGCGAAAUGCAUACAAAUGGAAUUAACUGCACAAUGCGUAAUGUCAUGAAGUUGUCAGAUUUUGGAUUCAGUCAUUUUAAAAACCCAUUAUAGCUCAUUAACCGGCAAAUGAAAGGACAGAAAUGCGCGAAAACAUUUCCCUUUUGUGUAAUGUUGGACUUAAAGAAAGGUUUAUAUACGUCCGUUUCUCGUCAUGCAUCGCAAACAAUGACAAGCGCCUCAUCAGACUAUAAGCAGCUUUCAUUAAAGCCCGGAACACAGCAGAUGAAGUACAUUAUACUUUCUUGCACGCGCACAUCUGCACCGCUUUGAAUAUUUACAGGCACGAGGGUUCAUGAAGCGCGCACACAGAGAGCAGUCAGCACACGCGUGAUCACUAAACUUAAGUUUUCUUUCUUGUCUAAGUGGACAUAAACAGCUGGAUGUUUAUCAGUACAUUAAAGCAGAGCAGUUUUAAAGCUGUCUUGUGUCUUAAAGUGACAGACAGUAACCUGGUGCUUUCUGUGUCAGAAAUGUUUAUUACACACCAAAAAUUAAAAUCACUCCUUACUCUUAACUGAACAAGCUUCUGCAGUUCCACAUUUAAAAUCCUACAGUGAGGACUGUGCAGUGUUUUAUUUGUAUUUUUUGCUUAUGUUAAAUCAUAGAUUCUAAUAACUAAUAUAUUUACAUUUAUUACAGAUGCCUGAAAAGUAAAACAAGAUGAGUAUAGUCUUAUGAUUUAAAGAAAAAACAAAAAAUUUGCUUGUCAGAAGCAUUGUUGUAGUGACAGUAGUGAUGGUCGUUUUCGAAGCACUGCUUCAUGAG